AAUAGAUACCCGGGUAGUCCACGCCGUAAACGAUGAGUGCUAAGUGUUAGGGGGUUUCCACCCCUUAGUGCUGCAGCUAACGCAUUAAGCACUCCGCCUGGGGAGUACGGUCGCAAGACUGAAACUCAAAGGAAUUGACGGGGCCCGCACAAGCGGUGGAGCAUGUGGUUUAAUUCGAAGCAACGCGAAGAACCUUACCAGGUCUUGACAUCCCGCUGACCGCUAUGGAGACAUAGCCUUCCCUUCGGGGACAGCGGUGACAGGUGGUGCAUGGUUGUCGUCAGCUCGUGUCGUGAGAUGUUGGGUUAAGUCCCGCAACGAGCGCAACCCUUGUCCUUAGUUGCCAUCAUUCAGUUGGGCACUCUAAGGAGACUGCCGUACAAAUACGGAGGAAGGUGGGGAUGACGUCAAAUCAUCAUGCCCCUUAUGACCUGGGCUACACACGUGCUACAAUGGACGGUACAAACGGUCGCGAAGUCGCGAGACGGAGCCAAUCCGAAAAAACCCGUUCUCAGUUCGGAUUGCAGGCUGCAACUCG
rnacentral:rRNA from 1 species